AUAUCUUCUCGGCUAUUUAGCUAAGAUCAAGUUUUUAAACUGUUCUUAUCAGAGUAAUUCCUGAUAUGGGCUUCGUCCCAGGAAUAGAAACCGCUGAUCUCUCAAGUGUUCUUCCGGAGUUCCACGUGUCCGGAUGGAGCGCUUCCUUU
rfam:Trypanosoma cruzi strain CL Brener tcruzi_1047053511191, whole genome shotgun sequence.